rnacentral:rRNA from 1 species
CCCGGUGAUUUAUUUAACGGCCGCAGUUAAGAGCUGUGCUAAGGUAGCGUAGUAAGUUGUCCUUUAAAUGGGGAAAGGAAUGAAUGGUUUGACGUGGGAAGAUCUGUCUCCAGUAAAAUAAAAUAAAUUUUCUUUUCGGUGAAAAGCCCGAAAUUCAAUUAAAAGACGAGAAGACCCUUUCGAGCUUGAUUAAAUUUUUAUUUUAAUAAAAAUUAAAGUUUGGUUGGGGCAACCGAGGAGCAAAUUAAGACUCCUUAAGGUGAUGAAGAUCCAAAAUUUUUGAAAAGAGAAAAAGCUACCGUAGGGAUAACAGCGUUAUCUUUUCUGAGAGAACAAAUUGAAGAAAAG